rnacentral:tRNA from 2 species
GUCAGGAUGGCCGAGCGGUCAAAGGCGCUGCGUUCAGGUCGCAGUCCGGUCUUCCGGGCGUGGGUUCGAAUCCCACUUCUGACA